rnacentral:rRNA from 1 species
AGAGUUUGAUCCUGGCUCAGAUUGAACGCUGGCGGCAUGCCUUACACAUGCAAGUCGAACGGCAGCACGGGGGCAACCCUGGUGGCGAGUGGCGAACGGGUGAGUAAUAUAUCGGAACGUGCCCUGGAGUGGGGGAUAACUAGUCGAAAGAUUAGCUAAUACCGCAUACGAUCUACGGAUGAAAGUGGGGGACCCGCAAGGGCCUCAUGCUCCUGGAGCGGCCGAUAUCUGAUUAGCUAGUUGGUGAGGUAAAGGCUCACCAAGGCAUCGAUCAGUAGCUGGUCUGAGAGGACGACCAGCCACACUGGGACUGAGACACGGCCCAGACUCCUACGGGAGGCAGCAGUGGGGAAUUUUGGACAAUGGGCGCAAGCCUGAUCCCGCAAUGCCGCGUGAGUGAAGAAGGCCUUCGGGGUUGUAAAGCUCUUUUUGUCAGGGAAG